rnacentral:rRNA from 1 species
GAUGAACGCUAGCGGCAGGCUUAACACAUGCAAGUCGAGGGGUAGAGGAAGCUUGCUUCCUUGAGACCGGCGCACGGGUGCGUAACGCGUAUGCAAUCUACCUUAUACAGGGGAAUAGCCCAGAGAAAUUUGGAUUAAUGCCCCAUAGUGUUAUCGAAUCGCAUGGUUUGAUAACUAAAGUUCCAACGGUAUAAGAUGAGCAUGCGUCCCAUUAGUUAGUUGGUAAGGUAACGGCUUACCAAGACAAUGAUGGGUAGGGGUCCUGAGAGGGAGAUCCCCCACACUGGUACUGAGACACGGACCAGACUCCUACGGGAGGCAGCAGUGAGGAAUAUUGGUCAAUGGGCGCAAGCCUGAACCAGCCAUGCCGCGUGCAGGGAAGACGGUCCUAUGGAUUGUAAACUGCUUUUUANAC